rnacentral:rRNA from 1 species
AACGAACGCUGGCGGCAGGCCUAACACAUGCAAGUCGAACGCCGUAGCAAUACGGAGUGGCAGACGGGUGAGUAACGCGUGGGAACAUACCCUUCGGUUCGGAAUAACUCAGGGAAACUUGUGCUAAUACCGGAUACGUCUGAGGUAAAACUUAGGAGAAAGAUUUAUCGCCGGAGGAUUGGCCCGCGUCUGAUUAGCUUGUUGGUGAGGUAAUGGCUCACCAAGGCGACGAUCAGUAGCUGGUCUGAGAGGAUGAUCAGCCACAUUGGGACUGAGACACGGCCCAAACU